rnacentral:rRNA from 1 species
GAUCCUGGCUCAGGACGAACGCUGGCGGCGUGCUUAACACAUGCAAGUCGAACGUGAUUUUUGUGGAAAUUCUUUCGGGAAUGGAAAUGAAAUGAAAGUGGCGAACGGGUGAGUAACACGUGAGCAACCUACCUUACACAGGGGGAUAGCCGUUGGAAACGACGAUUAAUACCGCAUGAGACCACAGAAUCGCAUGAUAUAGGGGUCAAAGAUUUAUCGGUGUAAGAAGGGCUCGCGUCUGAUUAG